GUUGCAAAAGAAGUAGGUAGCUUAAACUUCGGGAGGGCGCUUACCACUUUGUGAUUCAUGACUGGGGUGAAGUCGUAACAAGGUAACCGUAGGGGAACCUGCUGUUGGAUCACCUCCUUA
rnacentral:rRNA from 1 species